rnacentral:rRNA from 1 species
UCGUAGGUGAACCUGCGGAAGGAUCAUUACAGAAUGAAAGUGCUUAACUGCAUUUUUUUUAACAUGUGUUUUUCUUUUUUUUUGAAAACUUUGCUUUGGUGGGCCCAUGGCCUGCCAGAGAUUAAACUCAACCAAAUUUUUAUUUAAGUCAACUGAUUAACUAAUAGUCAAAACUUUCAACAACGGAUCUCUUGGUUCUCGCAUCGAUGAAGAACGCAGCGAAAUGCGAUAAGUAAUAUGAAUUGCAGAUAUUCGUGAAUCAUCGAAUCUUUGAACGCACAUUGCGCCCUUUGGUAUUCCAAAGGGCAUGCCUGUUUGAGCGUCAUUUCUCCCUCAAACCUUCGGGUUUGGUGUUGAGCGAUACGCUGGGUUUGCUUGAAAGAAAGGCGGAGUAUAAACUAAUGGAUAGGUUUUUUUUCCACUCAUUGGUACAAACUCCAAAAUUCUUCCAAAUUCGACCUCAAAUCAGGUAGGACUACCCGCUGAACUUAAGCAUAUCAAUAAGUCGGAGGAA